rnacentral:rRNA from 2 species
GACGAACGCUGGCGGCGUGCCUAAUACAUGCAAGUCGAACGAGAGCGACCGGUGCUUGCACUGGUCAAUCUAGUGGCGAACGGGUGAGUAACACGUGGGUAACCUGCCCAUCAGAGGGGGAUAACAUUCGGAAACGGAUGCUAAAACCGCAUAGGUCUUCGAACCGCAUGGUUUGAAGAGGAAAAGAGGCGCAAGCUUCUGCUGAUGGAUGGACCCGCGGUGCAUUAGCUAGUUGGUGAGGUAACGGCUCACCAAGGCCGUGAUGCAUAGCCGACCUGAGAGGGUGAUCGGCCACAUUGGGACUGAGACACGGCCCAA